rnacentral:rRNA from 1 species
AUAAGCGGAGGAAAAGAAACCAACCGGGAUUGCCCUAGUAACGGCGAGUGAAGCGGCAACAGCUCAAAUUUGAAAUCUGGAGCCAUUUGGCUUCCGAGUUGUAAUUUGCAGAGGGAGCCUCGGAGGGCGAGACGGUCCAAGUGCCUUGGAACAGGAUACCGCAGAGGGUGAGAGUCCCGUAUCCGGCCGAUCUUGCGCUCCGUGUGAGGCCCCUUCGACGAGUCGAGUUGUUUGGGAAUGCAGCUCCAAGCGGGUGGUAAAUUCCAUCUAAAGCUAAAUACUGGCCAGAGACCGAUAGCGAACAAGUAGAGUGAUCGAAAGAUGAAAAGCACUUUGAAAAGAGAGUCAAACAGUACGUGAAAUUGUUGAAAGGGAAGCGCAUGGGGGCAGACUUGGACGCGGGGUUCAGCGUUUCUAUUGGAGCGUGUACUUCCCCGCGUGCAGGCCAGCAUCGGUUCCGGGGGCCGGACAAAGACGUUGGGAAUGUGGCUCCCCUCGGGGAGUGUUAUAGCCCGGCGUGCAAUGCGGCCACCUGGGACCGAGGACCGCGCCUUGUGCAAGGAUGCUGGCGUAAUGGCCUCAUGCGGCCCGUCUUGAAACACGGACCAAGGAGUCUAACAUCUAUGCGAGUGUUUGGGUGGCAAGCCCGGACGCGCAAUGAAAGUGAACGGAGGUGGGAGUCUGUUACAGGACGCACCAUCGACCGAUCCGGACGUCUUCUGAAGGAUUUGAGUAAGAGCAUAGCUGUUGGGACCCGAAAGAUGGUGAACUAUGCGUGAAUAGGGUGAAGCCAGAGGAAACUCUGGUGGAGGCUCGCAGCGGUUCUGACGUGCAAAUCGAUCGUCAAAUUUGCGUAUAGGGGCGAAAGACUAAUCGAACCAUCUAGUAGCUGGUUCCU